CUCACCUCACCCCACUCACCCCCACUCACCGUCACAGACUAACGCGCACACACACGCUUUGGAAAAGAAAGAAAGAAAGGAAAGAAAGAAAGAAAAGAAGAAAGAGAGAGGGAAACGAGGAACCGAGAGGGAGGGGGCGCCGAGGAUGAAGGAACGCUAGGAGAGGUGGAGCUCGCCGCCACCAUCGCAUCAGCGCCUCGCCGCCGUCAUACUCGCAGGCAUGGAAGAAGCCCUUCACUGCCGCUGCUGCUCGUGAAGCCGACGCCGUCGCGGGUUAGAACUGGGGCGAGAGAGAAGGUCGCGAAGGAGGAGAGAACCGCGCCGUCCAGUCGCCGUCUGUGAAGCCUGGGUCGCCGUCCACGCUCGCCGCCGCCGUUUGUCCUCCCCACUGCCAGACGCCGUCGCCGUUUGUGAAGAAGAGAGGGAGCUCACCUUGCCUUCAGGUCCGCCACCAGAUCCGCCGUUGGAGUCCCGAACAGAGGACGAGAGAGAGAACCGUCGCGGAGCUGCCGUCGCCGCCGUGUUGCUGGCUCCGCCAUCAUUAUGCUCGCGCUCUGCUGUGUCGCCGGAGCUCCACGCCGCCGUUGCUGCCGCUAAGAACCGCCACUGAAGUCCUUUUUCCCUGGGGCCGAGUUGUGGUUCUUGCAUGCUGAGUUCAGUACCCGUGCAUGCGACAUCAAGUUGCUGCGUCGUCAACGGAGUCGCCGCCGUUCCGUUUUUCCGGAUACUCGUUGAGUUCGGUUCUUACGUGCCGUGGUUAAAGUUGCUGUGUUUGCUGUGAAAGAGAUUAGGGCUGAGGUCUAAGUUGUCGUUGAUUUUGGGCUGAGCAAAAAGAGUUCAGUUGACACGUGUGGGUUAUGGUUUUGCUUAUCGAGCUUUACCUUUUCAGGAACCGGAAGAAGAAGCAUUAAGAGGAGUUAUACUGCGUUUGGUUUAUAUGUUGUUGAAUUAAUUAGAUUAUUCUCUUCCCUCGUCUUUGUUAUUACAAUUUUGUAAGAGGGAUAGGAGUUGUAUGUUUUAUGUAUAUUAUAUUAUAUGAUAUUAUGUAAGAAGUCUUGUAUUUGAAUCUAUGUGUUUGUUUUUUUAAGAUAAAUUUUUAUUUUCGGUUUUA